CUCAUGGAGAGUUCAAUCCGGGCUCAGGAUGACAUGCCUUACACAUGUAAGUCAAAUGGGAAGUCGUGUUUCCAAUUACGGAAGGGUGAGUAACACGUAAGAACCUACCCUUGGGAGGGGAACAACAGCUGGAAACGGCUGCUAAUACCCCAUAGGCUGAGAAGCAAAAGGAGGAAUCCGCCCGAGGAGGGACUCGUGUCUGAUUAGCUAGUUGGUGAGGCAAUAACAUACCAUGGCGAUGGUCAAUAGUUGGUCUGAGAGGAUGAUUAACCACACUAGGACUGAGACCUGACCCAGACUCCUAAAGAAGGCAGUAAUGGGGAAUUUUUCACAAUGGGCGAAAGCCUGAUGGAACAAUGUUGUGUGAAGGUAGAAGGCCUACGGGUCAUGAACUGCUUUUCCCGGAGAAGAACCAAUGAUGGUAUCCAAGGAAUAAGCAUCAGCUAACUUUGUGCCAGCAGUCGUGGUAAGACAGAGGAUGCAAGCAUUAUUUGGAAUAAUUGGGUGUAAAGCAUUUGUAGGUGGCUUUUUAAUUUCGUCAUCAAAUCCCAAGGCUCAACUUUGGACAGGCGGUGGAAACUACCAAGCUAGAGUACGGCAGGGGCAGAGGGAAUUUCCGGUGGAGUGGUGAAAUGCAUAGAGAUCGGAAAGAACACCAACGGUGAAAGUACUCUGCUGGGCCGAUACUGACACUGAGAAAUGAUAGCUAGGGGAGCGAAUGGGAUUAGAUACCCCAGCAAUCCUAGCGGUAAACAAUGGAUACUAGGUGUUGUGCGUAUCGACCCGUGCAUUGCUGUAGCUAACACGUUAAGUAUCCCACCUGGGGAGUAUGUUCACAAGAAUGAAACUCAAAGGAAUUGAUGGGGGGCCUACACAAGCGGUGAAGCAUGUGGUUUAAUUUCGAUGCAAAGUGAAGAACCUUACUAGGGCUUGCCAUGCCGUGAAUCCUCUUGAAAGAGAGGGAUGCCUUCAGGAACGCAAAAAUAGGUGGUGCAUGGCUGUCGUCAGCUCAUGUCAUAAGGUGUUGGUUUAAGUUCCGCAAUGAGCGCAACCCUCGUGUUUAGUUGUCAACAUUUAGUUUGAAACCCUGAGCAGACUGUCGGUGAUAAGCCAGAGGAAGGUGAGGAUGAUGUCAAGUCAUCAUGCCCUUUCUUCCCUGGGCAACACAAGUGCUACAAUGGACGGGACAAAGGAUCGCGAUCCCACGAGGGUGAGCUAACUCCAAAAACCUAUCCUCAGUUCAGAUUAUAGGCUGCAACUCACUUGCAUGAAGCUAGAAUCGCUAGUAGUUGCCGGUCAACCAUACGACGAUGAAUUUGUUCCCGGGCCUUGUACACACCGUCCGUCACACUAUAGGAGUUGGCCAUGCCCGAAGUCACUACCUUAAACACAAGGAGGGGGAUGCCGAAGACAGGGUUAGUGACUGGAGUGAAGUUAUAACAAGCUAGUCAUACUAGAAGGUGUGGUUGAAUCACCUCCUUU
rfam:Glycine max cultivar Williams 82 chromosome 5, whole genome shotgun sequence.